AUAUAUUUAAUUAGUCUAUAUCUAAAAAAUAAAGUAAACGACACAGAGAAGAUUAGCAUGGCUCCUGUGCAAGGAUGACAUGCAAAUCCGUGAAGCGUUCCAUAUUUUU
rfam:Tupaia chinensis contig227087, whole genome shotgun sequence.